UACGUAGGGGGCAAGCGUUGUCCGGAUUCAUUGGGCGUAAAGAGCGUGUAGGCGGCCAGGUAGGUCGGUUGUGAAAACUGGAGGCUCAACCUUCAGAGGUCGACCGAAACCAUCUGGCUAGAGUCCGGGAGAGGAGAGUGGAAUUCCUGGUGUAGCGGUGAAAUGCGUAGAUAUUGGGAGGAACACCAGUGGCGAAGGCGGCUCACUGGACCGGAACUGACGCUGAGGCGCGAAGGCGUGGGGAGCAAACAGG
rnacentral:rRNA from 1 species